rnacentral:rRNA from 1 species
CAGUCGAGGGGUAUAGGUUUUCGGACCUAGAGACCGGCGCACGGGUGCGUAACGCGUAUGCAAUCUACCUUUUACAGAGGGAUAGCCCAGAGAAAUUUGGAUUAAUACCUCAUAGUAUUAUUGAAUGGCAUCAUUUAAUAAUUAAAGUUCCAACGGUAAAAGAUGAGCAUGCGUCCCAUUAGCUUGUUGGUAAGGUAACGGCUUACCAAGGCAACGAUGGGUAGGGGUCCUGAGAGGGAGAUCCCCCACACUGGUACUGAGACACGGACCAGACUCCUACGGGAGGCAGCAGUGAGGAAUAUUGGUCAAUGGGCGCAAGCCUGAACCAGCCAUGCCGCGUGCAGGAUGAAGCAUCUAUGGUGUGUAAACUGCUUUUGUACGAGAAGAAACACUCCUUCGUGAAGGAGCUUGACGGUAUCGUAAGAAUAAGGACCGGCUAACUCCGUGCCAGCAGCCGCGGUAAUACGGAGGGUCCAAGCGUUAUCCGGAAUCAUUGGGUUUAAAGGGUCCGUAGGCGGUUUUGUAAGUCAGUGGUGAAAGCCCAUCGCUCAACGGUGGAACGGCCAUUGAUACUGCAAGACUUGAAUUAUUGGGAAGCAACUAGAAUAUGUAGUGUAGCGGUGAAAUGCUUAGAGAUUACAUGGAAUACCAAUUGCGAAAGCAGGUUGCUACCAAUACAUUGACG